UACGAAGGGUGCAAGCGUUACUCGGAAUUACUGGGCGUAAAGCGUGCGUAGGUGGUUCGUUAAGUCUGAUGUGAAAGCCCUGGGCUCAACCUGGGAAUGGCAUUGGAAACUGGCGAGCUAGAGUGCGGUAGAGGGCAGUGGAAUUCCCGGUGUAGCAGUGAAAUGCGUAGAGAUCGGGAGGAACAUCUGUGGCGCAGGCGACUGCCUGGACCAGCACUGACACUGAGGCACGAAAGCGUGGGGAGCAAACAGG
rnacentral:rRNA from 1 species